UGCAAACCCUUCCUUCCACCUGAGCUGUGCUCCUAAAACCACCCAUCCCAAACCCUCUGGCACUCUCAGGGCUGAUCCCAAACCCUCUGGCACUCCCAGGGACCCUCUGGCAUCCUCAGGGCUGAUUCCAAACCCUUUGGCACUCUCAGAGCUGUUCCCAAAUCCCCUGGCUCUCAGGGGCUGUUCCCAAACCCUCUGGCACUCUGAAGAUUGAUCCCAAAUCUGCUAGCAUUCUCAGGGAUCCUCUGGCACUCUCAGAGCUGAUCCCAAACCCUCUGGGAUUCUCAGAGCUGAUCCCAAACCCUCUGGCAUUUUCAGGGACCCUUUGGCACUCUCAAGGCUGCUCCCAAACCCUCUGGCACUCUCAGGGAUUGAUCCAAAAUCUGCUGGCACUCUUAGAGCUGAUCCCAAACCCUCUGGCACUCCCAGGGACUCUGUGGCACUCUCAAGGAUCCUUUGGCAUCCUCAGGGCAGGUCCUAAACCCUCUGGCAUCCUCAGGGCUGAUUCCAAAUCCUCUGGCACUCUCAAGAUUGAUCCCAAAUCUGCUAGCAUUCUCAGGGACCCUCUGGCACUCUCAAAGCUGUUCCCAAACCCUCUGGGAUUCUCAGAGCUGAUCCCAAACCCUCUGGCACUCUCAGGAAUGAUCCCAAACCCCUCUGGCUCUCAGGGCUGAUCCCAAACCCUCUGGCGUUCUCAGGGGGGGUCCCAAACCCUCUGGCACUCUCAAGAUUGAUCCAAAAUCUGCUAGCAUUCUUAGGGACCCUCUGGCACUCUCAGGGCUGUUCCCAAACCCUUUGGCACUCCCAGGGACCCUCUGGCAUCCUCAGAGCUGAUCCCAAACCCUCUGGCACUCUCAAGAUUGAUCCCAAAUCUGCUAGCACUCUCAGGGAUCCUCUGGCACUCUCAGAGCUGUUCCCAAACCCUCUGGGAUUCUCAGAGCUGAUCCCAAACCCUCUGGCACUCUCAGGGACCCUCUGUCACUCUCAGGGACCCUCUGGCAUCCUCAGGGCUGAUUCCAAACCCUUUGGCACUCUCAGAACUGAUCCCAAACCCUCUGGCAUCCUCAGGGCUGAUCCCAGACCCCUCUGGCUCUCAGGGCUGAUCCCAAACCCUCUGGCACUCUCAGGGAUUGAUCCUAAAUCUGCUAGCAUUCUUAGGGACCCUCUGGCACUCUCAGGGCUGUUCCCAAACCCUUUGGCACUCUCAGGGCGGGUCCCAAACCCUCUGGCACUCUCAAGAUUGAUCCCAAAUCUGCUAGCAUUCUUAGGGACCCUCUGGCACUCUCAGGGCUGAUCCCAAACCCUCUGGCACUCUCAGUCAUCACCUCCCUGGCUCUCCAGCUCCCCACAGGGGUUCCUGCAGCACUGCAAGUUCUCCUCUCCCCUCCUGAGCACAGCCCACCCUCCCCUCCUGCUGUUUGCCCCUUCACUUUCCCUACAUCUCCAGCUUUUCACCCUCUGAUUGGCAAUUUCCCGAGCUGUCCAGCGAGCAGGGAAAUUCACUGUGA
rnacentral:lncRNA from 1 species